GACGAACGCUGGCGGCGUGCCUAAUACAUGCAAGUAGAACGCUGAAGGAGGAGCUUGCUUCUCCGGAUGAGUUGCGAACGGGUGAGUAACGCGUAGGUAACCUGCCUGGUAGCGGGGGAUAACUAUUGGAAACGAUAGCUAAUACCGCAUAACAGUAGAUAUUGCAUGAUAUCUGCUUGAAAGGUGCAAAUGCAUCACUACCAGAUGGACCUGCGUUGUAUUAGCUAGUUGGUGGGGUAACGGCUCACCAAGGCGACGAUACAUAGCCGACCUGAGAGGGUGAUCGGCCACACUGGGACUGAGACACGGCCCAGACUCCUACGGGAGGCAGCAGUAGGGAAUCUUCGGCAAUGGACGGAAGUCUGACCGAGCAACGCCGCGUGAGUGAAGAAGGUUUUCGGAUCGUAAAGCUCUGUUGUAAGAGAAGAAUGAGUGUGAGAGUGGAAAGUUCACACUGUGACGGUAUCUACCA
rnacentral:rRNA from 1 species